rnacentral:lncRNA from 12 species
AUGAGAAUCGGUAAGUACUUUGUAGCACUGCCAUACUCUAAUGAGAAACACAACAGUACCAUACAUGCAAAAAUACUGAAAUUGUUACUUUACAGAAUUGCUAGACGUCCAGAUGUUGGGGGCAGAGGAAGAAUGUUCACUCCAGAGCAAGAGACCCAUAUAGUGAACAUGGUGAUUGCCAAUAAUGCAAUAAGACUGCGCGAAAUACAGCAGCGCAUAAUUGAUAAUGACACCAUCUUUCAAAAUAUACACAGUGUAAGCAUUUCUGCACUAAGUCGUGUACUUGCGCGCCACAGAAUAAGAAUGAAGCAAAUUUACAGAGUUCCUUUCGAGAGAAACACAGAACGUGUAAAGCAACUGCGAUAUGACUAUGUGCAGGUAAGCUAUAGUGUCAUUGGUUCUGAAUUUGGAAGUGCAUACUGUAGUGCUGUGCAUGGGCCUGAUGUGUUGCAUUUGUUUUGUCUUGUCCAGAGAGUGAUGGAACUAGAAGCAGAUGCCAUGGGACAUGAGCUACUUUUUGUAGAUGAGGCCGGUUUUAACCUCAGUAAAACCAGGAGACGUGGCAGGAACAUUACUGGACACCGUGCCAUCAUCAAUGUCCCAGGACAACGUGGUGGUAACAUAACCAUGUGUGCAGCUAUAAGCCAAAAUGGUGUUGUUCACCAUCAUGCAACCAUAGGCCCAUACAACACUGCACACAUUAUUGCAUUCCUGGACACCUUACAUGACAUGCUCACUGUUCAGAGACCAGAGCAUACCCGAUAUGUCAUCAUAUGGGACAAUGUUAGUUUCCAUAGGGCUGCUUUGGUCCGCAACUGGUUUACAGACCACCCAUCCUUCAUGGCACUCAACCUCCCUCCAUACUCUCCAUUCUUAAAUCCCAUCGAGGAGUUCUUCUCUGCCUGGCGCUGGAAAGUGUACAACCGUCAUCCUCAUCAACAGGUAGCCCUUUUACAGGCAAUGGAGGAGGCAUGUGGAGAUAUUGACCAGGCAUCAUGUCAGGCCUGGAUACAGCAUUCAUGGAGAUAUUUUCCCCGGUGCCUUGGACUGGAGGAUAUCGCAUGUGAUGUGGAUGAAAUUUUGCGGCCGGACCCAGAAAGAUGA